AGCGAACGCUGGCGGCAGGCUUUACACAUGCAAGUCGAACGCCCCUUCGGGGGAGUGGCAGACGGGUGAGUAACGCGUGGGAAUUUGCCUUUUGGUGGGGAAUAACGCAGGGAAACUUGCGCUAAUAUCGCAUAAGCCCGUGAGGGGAAAGAUUUAUCGCCAAAAGAUAAGCACGCGUCUGAUUAGCUAGUUGGUGGGGGAAUGGAUCACCAAGGCGACGAUCAGUAGCUGGUCUGAGAGGACGACCAGCCACACUGGGAAUGAGACACGGCCCAGACUCCUACGGGAGGCAGCAGUGGGGAAUAUUGGACAAUGGGGGCAACCCUGAUCCAGCCAUGCCGCGUGAGUGAUGAAGGCCUUAGGGUUGUAAAGCUCUUUUACCCGGGACGAUAAUGACUGUACCGGGAGAAUAAGCCCCGGCUAACUUCGUGCCAGCCGCCGCAGUAA
rnacentral:rRNA from 1 species